AGAUUGAACGCUGGCGGCAGGCCUAACACAUGCAAGUCGAGCGGUAGAGAGGUGCUUGCACCUCUUGAGAGCGGCGGACGGGUGAGUAAUGCCUAGGAAUCUGCCUAGUGGUGGGGGAUAACGUUCGGAAACGGACGCUAAUACCGCAUACGUCCUACGGGAGAAAGCGGGGGACCUUCGGGCCUCGCGCCAUUAGAUGAGCCUAGGUCGGAUUAGCUAGUUGGUGAGGUAAUGGCUCACCAAGGCGACGAUCCGUAACUGGUCUGAGAGGAUGAUCAGUCACACUGGAACUGAGACACGGUCCAGACUCCUACGGGAGGCAGCAGUGGGGAAUAUUGGACAAUGGGCGAAAGCCUGAUCCAGCCAUGCCGCGUGUGUGAAGAAGGUCUUCGGAUUGUAAAGCAACUUUAAGUUGGGAGGAAGGUUGUAAACUUAAUACGUUAGCAAUUUGACGUUACCGACAGAAUAAGCUACGCUAACUUCGUGCCAGCAGCCG
rnacentral:rRNA from 1 species